rnacentral:rRNA from 1 species
GUCUACGGCCAUGCUACCCUGAACAAGCCUGAUCCUGUCUGAUUUCAGAAGUUAAGCAGGAUCAGGCCUGGUUAGUACUUGGACGGGAGACCACCUAGGAAGACCAGGUGCUGUAGGCG